GAUGAACGCUGGCGGCGUGCCUAAUACAUGCAAGUCGAGCGAACGGACGAUAAGCUUGCUUUUUUGAUGUUAGCGGCGGACGGGCGAGUAACACGUGGAUAACCUACCUAUAAGUCUGGGAUAACUUCGGGAAACCGGAUCUAAUACUGGCUAAUAUUUUGAACCGCAUGGUUCAAAAGUUCAAGACGGUCUUGCUGUCACUUAUAGAUGGUUCCGCGCUGCAUUAGCUAGUUGGUAAGGUAACGGCCUACCAAGGCUACGAUGCAUAGCCGACCUGAGAGGAUGAUCGGCCACACUGGAACUGAGACACGGUCCAGACUCCUACGGGAGGCAGCAGUAGGGAAUAUUGCGCAAUGGGCGAAAGCCUGACGGAGCAACUCCGCGUGAGUGAUGAAGGUCUUCGGAUCGUAAAACUCUGUUAUUAGGGAAGAAAAGAUGUGGAAGUAAAUGUGGACAUCUUGACGGUACCUAAUCAGAAAGCAACGGCUAACUACGUG
rnacentral:rRNA from 1 species